rnacentral:tRNA from 1 species
ACUUGAAUAGCUUAUAUAGAGUAUAACAUUGAAGAUGUUAUGGAAAUUUAUUUAAUUUUUAAGUA